GACGAACGCUGGCGGCGUGCCUAAUACAUGCAAGUUGAGCGCUGAAGGUUGGUACUUGUACCAACUGGAUGAGCAGCGAACGGGUGAGUAACGCGUGGGGAAUCUGCCUUUGAGCGGGGGACAACAUUUGGAAACGAAUGCUAAUACCGCAUAAAAACUUUAAACACAAGUUUUAAGUUUGAAAGAUGCAAUUGCAUCACUCAAAGAUGAUCCCGCGUUGUAUUAGCUAGUUGGUGAGGUAAAGGCUCAUCAAGGCGAUGAUACAUAGCCGACCUGAGAGGGUGAUCGGCCACAUUGGGACUGAGACACGGCCCAAACUCCUACGGGAGGCAGCAGUAGGGAAUCUUCGGCAAUGGACGAAAGUCUGACCGAGCAACGCCGCGUGAGUGAAGAAGGUUUUCGGAUCGUAAAACUCUGUUGGUAGAGAAGAACGUUGGUGAGAGUGGAAAGCUCAUCAAGUGACGGUAACUACCCAGAAAGGGACGGCUAACUACGUG
rnacentral:rRNA from 1 species